GUCUUUAGCCAACUGCAGUCAAAAGACAUCAUUCUUUUAUUUACCAGACACUUUGAGACAACCUACACCUGAAGCUGAGUCAGUGGACUCAAACAGCAGUAGUGCCUUGACAUAGUACGUGUUUGUAGACAAUUCUUUGGCUCUCCCUCCUGUUUCUUCCUGGCACACCGGCGAAACAGCCGGUUGAAGAGUAUGUAGAGGUGGCUGAAGAUGAUGAGAGGGGGAGGCAGAAUGGGUCGGUCAUGGAAAGUCAUGAUCAGCUGAUACCUCUGGAACUUCCACACCUGAUUGGAAAUGGACUUGACUUCAAAGAAGGUGUUGCUGCCAGUCAGAACACACACGUACAUGAUACGAGGUGUCAUCUCCAAGGCGGAAAUCCAAGAGCAGAAUCAGAGGAGGAAAGAUGAUUCCCAGAAUAACCUUGGCCCACCGUGUUGUAUAAUUCCUCCAGUCUGGGAAUGGUGAGGAAGUGGUGAAUGUUGACUCCGUUCUCAAGGAGCAGUUUGACAAAGUCCACCCUGUCCAGCACUAGAGCGUCCAUCAUGGCCUGCUCCAGAGAGU